rnacentral:lncRNA from 1 species
GCAAGUCUCUCUCAGCGAACCUCUCUGCACUGCUUAUCAUCAUUUUCAUCAAAGUCUAUUCACUGCGUGUUUGGUGUCCGAGGGGGCAGCAGCCUUGGUACUGGAAAUGCAAAAGAAAACAUGGAAGAAUACGAUGACAGAAGAGGAUCUAAAAAUGACUGGUGCAGACAAGCAUGUGCAAAUGGAGAAUCAAGAGCCCUCCUUCAGCCCCUGACUCUGGACAGGACAGGACAGGACAGGACAGGACAGGACAGGACAGGACAGGACAGGACUGCCUCUAAUGAGAACCAUCGCUCAUCCAGCUCUGGGUGUUAUAGACCACAGCCAGUGAGGGAGGCUGCGCUCUUCACUCAAGGAGCUACUCAUCGUGGGGAGAGGACACAAUACGACUUUGUGUCCCUCACACUGACCUCGCUCCCGCUCCACCCCCUCUGCCUUCUCUCAGUCAAGGCCAGAGUCACAAAAUCAAUUUCCACAGGCACUGUUGGAAAAAGGCGACAGCAGUUGUAACGGCUCAUGUGUCGUUGGGAACUGUGCAGGUAAUAAUAAAAAUCACUGCAUUUUAUCAAAUUUGGAGGGCUGCCCCCAAUUCUUUGUGGAUGCUGAAGAUCAACAG